GGGCAACCACUGACCUAUUCUUCAUCUGUAUAAUUCUGUCAUUUCAACAAUGUUAUAGAAGUGGAGUUAUAAAGUAUACAACCUUUCGAAAUUGGCUUUUUUUACUCAGCAUAAUGGCCGCGAGAUCCCUUCAUGCAUCCACAGUUUGUUGCACGUAUCGUGUUGUUCCUUUUCAUUGUUGAGUAGUAGUCCAUAGUAUGGGUGAGCCACAGUAUAUCCAUUCACUUUUCAUAGGACAUUUGGAUUGUUUCCACUUGUCAGCUAUACAAAUAGAGCUACUACUAUAAACAUUCAUGUAUGGAUUUCUUAUGUGGAUGUGUGUUUUCAUUUCUCUAGGAUACAUACCCAGGAGUAUCAUUGCCAAGUCUUAUGGCUGGGGAAUCAGUAGCAAUGUUAAUGAGUGAAAGAAAAGAAUGCUAGAAACAGCCGCGGGCUGACAUCAAAGAAAUGAACUUCAGCCCUGUGAUUGUCAUGUGGAAGGCCUGGAAAUACACGCGAACAUCUGUGAAAUCAAAUCAAAACUCAGACAGGCUUUUGGCCUCCCUACUCCAUGUUUCCAGAUAUGAUUUGGAUGCGCAGUUCCUUAACAAAAUAAAAAUGAAGGACCAUGU